UUAAAUUGCUGUAGUAUUUUGACUAUACAAAGGUAUUGUAAUAAGACUUUCAUUGAGUGCUAAGAGAAUGGACUUUCAAAAAAAUUCUUUUUUAAAUUUAAAAAUUAAAGUUAUUUUUAUUUGUGAAGAAACAAUAAUGAAAAUUAUAGACAAGAAGACCCUAUGAAUUUUAACUAAAUUAAACUAAGGCCUUAGUUUAAUUUAGUUUAAUUGGGGCGAUUAAAAAAAAUAAUAAACUUUUUAUAAAAUAAAAUGAUCCAUAAAUUAUGAUUAAAUGUAAUAAAUACUCUAGGGAUAACAGCG
rnacentral:rRNA from 1 species